rnacentral:tRNA from 1 species
GGGGUCGUAGCUCAGCUGGGAGAGCGCUAGCUUUGCAAGCUAGAGGUCGUCGGUUCGAGCCCGAUCGACUCCACCA